rnacentral:rRNA from 1 species
CAUGCUAGGAUGUGAUGGGGAAGCCCUCCGUGGCGAAGUAGCUGAUUUCACACUGUCAAGAAAAGCUUCUAUCGAGUUUAAAGGCGCCCGUACCGUAAACCGACACAGGUGGGAGAGGAGAGUAUCCUAAGGCCAGCGAGAGAACUAUUGUUAAGGAACUCGGCAAAAUGACCCCGUAACUUAGGGAGAAGGGGUGCCUGUCUAUGACAGGCCGCAGAGAAUAGGCCCAAGCGACUGUUUACCAAAAACACAGGUUUCUGCUAAGUCGCAAGACGAUGUAUAGGAGCUGACGCCUGCCCGGUGCUGGAAGGUUAAGGGGAUCUGUUAGAGCAAUCGAAGCAGUGAACUUAAGCCCCAGUAAACGGCGGCCGUAACGAUAACGGUCCUAAGGUAGCGAAAUUCCUUGUCGGGUAAGUUCCGACCCGCACGAAAGGCGUAACGAUUUGGGCACUGUCUCAACAAUAGACUCGGUGAAAUUGUAAUCCCGGUGAAGAUGCCGGGUACCUGCGACAGGACGGAAAGACCCCAUGGAGCUUUACUGUAGCUUGACGUUGGGUCUUGGUACUACAUGUACAGGAUAGGUGGGAGACUAUGAAGUAUGGACGCCAGUCUGUGUGGAGUCAUCCUUGGGAUACCACCCUUGUAGUACUGGGAUCCUAACCAUAGGCCUUGAAUCAGGUCUUGGAACACCGUCAGGUGGGCAGUUUGACUGGGGCGGUCGCCUCCUAAAAAGUAACGGAGGCGCUCAAAGGUUUCCUCAGCACGGUCGGAAAUCGUGCGAAGAGUGUAAAGGCAAAAGGAAGCUUGAUUGCAAGACAUACAGGUUGAGCAAGGACGAAAGUCGGACUUAGUGAUCCGGUGGUACCGCAUGGAAGGGCCAUCGCUCAACGGAUAAAAGCUACCCUGGGGAUAACAGGCUUAUCUCCCCCAAGAGUCCACAUCGACGGGGAGGUUUGGCACCUCGAUGUCGGCUCAUCACAUCCUGGGGCUGUAGUAGGUCCCAAGGGUUGGGCUGUUCGCCCAUUAAAGUGGUACGCGAGCUGGGUUCAGAACGUCGUGAGACAGUUCGGUCCCUAUCCGUCGCAGGCGUAGGAAAUUUGAGAAGACCUGUCCUUAGUACGAGAGGACCGGGAUGGACGUACCUCUGGUGUACCAGUUGUUCUGCCAAGAGCAUGGCUGGGUAGCUAUGUACGGAAUGGAUAAGCGCUGAAAGCAUCUAAGCGCGAAGCCAACUUCAAGAUAAGAUUUCCCACCGUAAGGGUAAGACCCCAGGAAGACUACCUGGUUGAUAGGUCGAAGGUGUAAGUGCAGUAAUGUAUUUAGCUUAUCGAUACUAAUAGGUCGAGGACUUGACCAA